GAAUUGCUGAAGUUGUGAAGGUUGAUGCUGUGAAUGCGCUCGGUCAUCCCCUUGCAACUGAUGUCACCUGCAGCAUGUCAACGCAGACACAAAACAGGGCAUGGGUCAGAUCUAGCUGGUUGCAUUCCUAACACCUAGGUUUCAGAGUAAAAAUACAGAGUCAGCUUGUGAUGGCAUUCCCUCAAAACAUGGAAGGAAUUGCAGUAAUGAAAGUCAUCAUGUAUUCUAAGAGACUGUUCUGCGAGAGCACAACACAGACGGGGCUAAAGCAGGGAUUGUCUAAGCCCAGUGUGGAGGAACCAUCAAGGAUUUCAGCACGUUUUUUUAGCCAUUGUACAGUUUGUGAAAAUUAAGUUUUACUCUGUGAAUAAAGAAUUGGAUAGAUAAUUCCAGACAACAUUCUGAAAGACACUUACGCCGUCAUUCCAAAGUUGAAAUGAAAUGAGGGGGAGAAGACUUGCUGGGACUAAGGAAAAAAGUCAAUGAAAUCUGAGUGAGAAGCAAAAGUGCUCAGGAGUUAAGAGAAGCAGACGUCCGAAAUUAUCUCCAUGCAUUACCAAAAACCGUGGGCACCACGGCACGGGGAAAACUUACCAGGUACAAUGAGCCAGUGACUGUUACUGAAUUUCUUAAGAUUACACUUUUCCCAACUACUGCAGACUGCUUCAGAAUAGAAGAAGACAACUCUCAUGCCAUCAAGCCGACGGACUUUCAAAAAAAUAAAAGAUGCAUUUCUUUACUUCUUUACUAAGGGAAUUAAUUAUCUGGAAGAACAGGAACAUACAGGCCCAUGAGAAGUAAAAGCAGGCACUGGCAUUCUGCACAGAUGAAAUACUUCCUACGACAGGAAUACAUGCUCACUUGUGGACUUCUCUGUAAUCUGUAGGCAACAUCAGCUCCUGAUUUCUAGGUCUGGAUCUGGGUUCUCUGUAGCACAGGAAGGUCUCUACUUCUCCUACAUAAAUGCCUUGCAUGGCGGGAACUAAAUCAACUACACAGACCCAUACAUCCAGAGAGCAGAGGUGAGCUGGAUACAAGUGGCUUAGAGAUGUGGUGGAAGGAGGCCAGAGCUCCAAGGGAAGGGCAGCAAGGAGACAACAGCAUGGGUUGCAGCUCAGACAACAGGUAAAUAAAACCAAGCAAAGCUGCUGGUCACAGAUUUGACCAGGGUGGCAAGAAAUGACAAGCUACCAUGAGAUUCAACAGUGGCACGGAAGGAUGAUGAGAAGCAAACAGAUUAGGAGAAGCUGCCACCACCGUACAUAGAGGCACAGAUGACCAAGCAGAACAGCACCAGUCCCUGCAAGGUGUGCUCAGAUACAGCUCAGCACAGCCAUCUGGCCAGGAGGGAAUGAUAAUGCACAUGGUGUGCACUGCAGCCGGGAAGUUGAGAACCGCUGUGGGCACCUCAGGACUGAGUCUGGUUACCCUGCUGAUCCAAGAAAUGAAGCCAUCUAAAAUUUUGCCUGCUUUCACAAUUUUCUGUGUGUGUGUGUGUGUAUUAAACAAAGUGAACUAAGAAGC
rnacentral:lncRNA from 1 species